UGCUGCUGCUGAGGUUGCGCUUCUGGAGAUCCAGCAGCGAAGGCCCGCCCCUUCUUCUUCCUCUUCUUCUCCACCAUCUUCCCCAUUCCCUCUCUCUCUCUCUCUCUCUCUCUCUCUGUACUUUCUCUCUCCUCUUUCUCUCUCUAUGUGGGGGUUCGUCGUCGGACAAGCGGGGGGGCGUUAACCUUUUUUUUCUUUUUUUCUUAUUUUUUCCCCCUAUUUUAAUAUAUAUAUGUCCGCAUUUCGUUUCGCAGAGGAGAUAUAUAUAUUCUUUUU
rnacentral:lncRNA from 1 species